rnacentral:lncRNA from 1 species
AUACUCCGUGAGAGAAGCAGGACCGAAACACACAGAGGCAUUGCGGGGCUCAGAGAAGAACAGUGUAGAAACCCGCGCUGUGUGAAGCGAGGUUGGGCGCAAGAGAAGCAGGCAUGACCUGGCCAACGGGGAGGCCGGAAGUCCUCGCCUUUCUGGUCUUUCACGUUGGCAGCGCCUCUGCUGGGCCUCGGGCCGCUCACCUGCGGAAGGGGCCGCACUCUUCACCAUGGACUCCACCGCCUCCUGCACCCGGAGCUGCUGCAGCUCAGCCAUGGCGACCCCGCGCUGCCCCGCGGCGCUCCGCGCCGGCGCCCAUAUGGAAUCGGCGUACGGGCCCGCCCCCUCACCGCCCUUCGCCGCCCUUCGCCGCCUGCCCUUCCAGGGCCCACGCCCCCCCCUGGCGGCCGAACGGAGCCACUGCAUGCUGGUGUCCGCGAGCCCACCGCCCUCCUCCCGCUUGGGAACCGGUCACUGGGACACCUGCCCUGCGGCUGCUGCCUGCCUUUCCUCCUCCCUCCCAUGUCCCUCCCUUUACAUUCUUUAAAAUUAUUUAAUGUAAUUUACAUACAGAUAAAUGCCCAGAUCUUAGGCGUGCUGCUUGAUGAGUUUUAACAAACCCUGUCCGCCGGGCGCAGUGGCUUACGCCUGUAAUCCCAGCACUUUGGGAGGCCGUGGGCAGGUGGAUGACCUGAGCUCAGGAAUUUGAGACCAGCCUGGCCAACCUGGCGAAACCCCGUCCCUACUAAAAAUACAAAAAUUAGCCGGGUGUGGUGGCACAUGCCUGUAGUCCCAGCUAUUUGGGAGGCUGAGGCAGGAGAAUUGCUUGAACCCGGGAGGGAGAGGUUGCAGUGAGCCGAAAUCACGCCAUUGCACUCCAGCCUGGACGACAGAGUGAGACUCUGUCUCUAAACAACAAUAAAAACCCAAACUCUGUCUUGUCCCAAUCUCCGUCCUUUCUACCCCAUCUCCCCACCCCUGCCCUAACUGGUCUGCUUCUGUCACUGUAGAUUACAUUUUCUCUUUCUAGAAUGUCAUAUGUAUGUUAUUAUCCAAUAAGUACUCCUUUUCUGUCUGGCUUUUUUAGCAUAUUGCUGAAAAAUACUUAGCCUAAUGCUUUCGAGAUUGAGCUGUGUUGUUGGUUCUUUUUUGCUGCUGAGUAGUAUUCUAUUGAAUGGACAUACCACAUUUGUCGUUGUUGUUUUUUGAGACAGGGUCUUACUCUGUCACCCAGGCUGGAGUGCAGUGAUGUGGUCUCGGCUCAUGCAGCCUCCACCUCCCUGGUUCAAGUGAUUCUCAUGCCUCAGCCUCCCGAGUAGCUGGGAUUACAGGCAUGUGCCACCACGUCUGGCUAAUUUUUUUUUUUUUUUUGUAGACACGGGGUUUCACCAUGUUAGCCAAGCUGGUCUCCAACUCCUGAGCUCAAGGGAUCCACACACCUCGGCCUCCCAAAGUGCUGAGAUUGCAGGCAUGAGGCAUCGGUCCCGGCCCACAUUUGUUGAUCCAUUCCCCUGCUGAUGGGUGUUUGGGUCUUUUCCACUUAGUAGCUAUUAUGAAUAAAGUGGUGACUAU